rnacentral:lncRNA from 1 species
UUGGCCUCCGGCUUCGGGAAAAGGUGGGGAAGAAGCGGCGCGACGCGACGAAGGGGGUGGCGGCGAUGGUUCCUCUCGGCGGCGACGAUGGCAACGCCUAGCUCCUCCGGAAGGGGGCGGCGGCGACGGUAGCUUUGGGUGAAUGUCGAUGGUGAGCUACGGUGCACGAAAAAGAGAAUGGAGCGCGUCAAAACGUCCGCAAGGACAAGGGGAAGAAGAAGGUGCGGCCAUGGGGUCGAUGUCGUACCUUGUCGGUGGCGGGGACUAAAAGACGGCGGCGGCCUGUAGCUUACUCCGGCAAGAAAUGGUGACAGCCUGGUGGCGCGAUCAGGAGAGGAAAGAGAGGGGAAAGAGAGAGGAGGGUGCGGGCUUUAUAAUGCCGCGCAUGGAAAGGGGAGGGCGCCACGGAGCUGACGGGGCGGCAGAGAUGGUGGCCGCGGAUCCAACGCGCGGUGAUUCCGGCGGUGACUGGGGGAGGGAGACGACUGACGGGUGGUCCCCGUCGGUCAGCGGCUUGGUGCGCGGGUUGCUGUUGGGCUGGCGCGCGCGGUGAGGUAAGUGGCUCGGUUCGGCCCAAUUGGCCGGACCAGUCCGAUUCCUUCUCUCUUUUUUUCUUUUUUUUUUCCUUUUCUGUUUUUAAAACAAACUUUUGAUUCAAAGCUCCAAAUCAAACCAAAUAAGUUCCAGAAAAUUUGUAAAAUCAAUCCUCAAAUGCCUUAGCCUCUGGGACUUGAAUUACUUCAAAAUAAAAUAUUUAAAAAUAGUUUUGCUUAUAUAGUUGCCUUUAGGGCUUUAUAACUAAUUAAAUAAAAUAGUUUUUCAACUCUAAAUUAAAUACUAAAAUAUGGGGAGCAUAACAGAUGCAAUAAACCCCUAUUGUCAAAACCCUAUUGGUUUGAAAAUUCCAAUAAGAUGGAAGUCAAGAUUCCAAUAAGAGAAAGCUUUGGUAAAGAGAUUUAAAUUUCAAAACCAAGGUUUAAAAGUGGUUAAAAUGCAUAAGAGGCAUGAUGCUUAUGGAUGCAAAUGCAUGAUGCAAAGUUUGAAAAUUUUGGGAUGUUACACCUGCUGAUGUUGUUGUAGCAUGUCUGGCACCUGUAGCCGUGUAACGCCGUGCUCUUGGGCCAUGGGCCGUGAAUGUGUUUCUACGACUGAGUUUAUAAUCAGCGCAGCAUCCGUGAGAGGGGCAUCGAAAAAGUGAAUAGAAACAGAUUCCCUGCCCCUCUUCUUCUUCCUCCCUGAUUUACCUCUCCUACAAUCUCUCGACCUAGCCGACGACCAUCAC